rnacentral:rRNA from 1 species
UACGGAGGGUGCGAGCGUUGUCCGGAAUCACUGGGCGUAAAGGGCGCGUAGGUGGCGCGGGCAGUCAACGGUGAAAGUUCGGGGCUCAACCCUGAAUCGGCCGUCGAUACUCCCGAGCUGGAGCACUGUAGAGGCUCAUGGAAUUCCGGGUGUAGCGGUGGAAUGCGUAGAGAUCCGGAAGAACACCGGUGGCGAAGGCGGUGAGCU